rnacentral:rRNA from 1 species
UACGUAGGGUGCAAGUGUUAAUCGGAAUUACUGGGCGUAAAGCGUGCGCAGGCGGUUAUGUAAGACAGUUGUGAAAUCCCCGGGCUCAACCUCGGAACUGCAUCUGUGACUGCAUAGCUAGAGUACGGUAGAGGGGGAUGGAAUUCCGCGUGUAGCAGUGAAAUGCGUAGAUAUGCGGAGGAACACCGAUGGCGAAGGCAAUCCCCUGGACCUGUACUGACGCUCAUGCACGAAAGCGUGGGGAGCAAACAGG